ACGGGUGAGUAAUGCCUAGGAAUCUGCCUGGUAGUGGGGGAUAACGCUCGGAAACGGACGCUAAUACCGCAUACGUCCUACGGGAGAAAGCAGGGGACCUUCGGGCCUUGCGCUAUCAGAUGAGCCUAGGUCGGAUUAGCUAGUUGGUGGGGUAAUGGCUCACCAAGGCGACGAUCCGUAACUGGUCUGAGAGGAUGAUCAGUCACACUGGAACUGAGACACGGUCCAGACUCCUACGGGAGGCAGCAGUGGGGAAUAUUGGACAAUGGGCGAAAGCCUGAUCCAGCCAUGCCGCGUGUGUGAAGAAGGUCUUCGGAUUGUAAAGCACUUUAAGUUGGGAGGAAGGGCAUUAACCUAAUACGUUAGUGUUUUGACGUUACCGACAGAAUAAGCACCGGCUAACUCUGUGCCAGCAGCCGCGGUAAUACAGAGGGUGCAAGCGUUAAUCGGAAUUACUGGGCGUAAAGCGCGCGUAGGUGGUUCGUUAAGUUGGAUGUGAAAUCCCCGGGCUCAACCUGGGAACUGCAUUCAAAACUGUCGAGCUAGAGUAUGGUAGAGGGUGGUGGAAUUUCCUGUGUAGCGGUGAAAUGCGU
rnacentral:rRNA from 1 species